UAAAAAGUCCAGGCGUAGAGAGAUUUAACGUAUUAAAAUCAGUUGAAAAAAGGGAUAUUAGUUAUUUACUUGGUUACUUACUUACUAGGUUCUGCGCCAUCUUGUUUCUAUUAACGUUUUUUUUCCCGUAGAGAAAGAAAUACAUCCAUAAAUGAAAAGGAUUUUGAUUGCAUUUCACCAUAGUAAGGAUGCAAUAGAUUAAAAUCUUCAGUCUGCUGUAAUGAACAUCACCUAUGGCAGAGGAUAAAAAACGGAUACAAUAAUACCUUGAGAGAUGAAUGCCACAACAAACGACUGUUUAUUACGAUAGGAGCUGAUCCAUAGAUGGCAGCGUAACGGUAAAUUGCUUUGAAUCAUGAUCUUGGGUCUAGGAACGAGUUAAACCGUAGGUCAAGUUUUGCCACGAUACUAGCGCUGUGCAUCAACAGACAAGUCGCGCCAAACGUUAUACCGUCUAAAUAAAAGUGUGUUAUCAAUAGAGUUGAUUAGUUUGUAAUAAAAGAAAAAGAACACGAGGAGAAGAUGGGAGCUAGACAUAUGGUACUCAUGAAUUACGAUGUUGGUUAUAUCAGCUGCCUAUUAUAUUAUUUUGAGGGGAGAAAACGAAUUACUGCUAUCAAGUGGAGAACCUUCAAUAUUUAAAUUAGCAUUAGUGUAAUAAUGCAUACUUCAAAGAGAGAAAUCAACACCGAAAAAAAAAACAAAAAAAACUAGCAACAACCGUUUUUCCUUUUCUAAUUUUUAAAGACAAUACUAGAUUGGAGGAAUACACCAAAGUGGAUCGUCUAUCACCUGCAGAAUGGUUAUUUGGAAGAAAACUCCGAUCUUUGAUUCCUGCACAUGAAUCACAAUGUCUAAGUCUAUAAUUAUGAUCGCGGAGAGAAAACGUAAGCAGAUUAGAGAUAGGAAUUCUAUGGGUGGUCGGGAUUUACCAAUGCUUAAAGUUGAACAACAGGCCAUAGUUUGAAAUCCUAUUAAGGUAGAAUAGGACUCUAUUGGGAUUACAGAUCAUAUUCGGUUAAAUCAUCUGUCAUCGGAACUACCAACUGAUUGUGAGCCUCUUUUUUCCUGAGGACACAUAAUCAAAGUAACGACGUGACUUAUCGAAUACAUUUUAUUGUUAUGUAUUAAAUUUAAAAAGUUUAUUUAUUAAAUUGUUCAUAAACCUUUGAACUCACGGUUACGGUUUAAAAUGUUAAAUUACAUUCUAAAUUCUUGUUUUAGUGUGACGUAACGUUUUUGAAAAUAGACCCUUCUUCCGUCCCCUCCCC
rnacentral:lncRNA from 1 species